GUGCCAGCCGCCGCGGUAAUACAGAGGGUGCAAGCGUUGUUCGGAAUUAUUGGGCGUAAAGCGCGUGUAGGCGGUUUGGUAAGUCGGAUGUGAAAGCCCUCGGCUCAACCGAGGAAGGGCGUUCGAAACUACUAAACUUGAGUGCCAGAGGGGGUGGCGGAAUUCCCCAAGUAGAGGUGAAAUUCGUAGAUAUGGGGAGGAACACCAGUGGCGAAGGCGGCCACCUGGAUGGUAACUGACGCUGAGACGCGAAAGCGUGGGUAGCAAACAGGAUUAGAUACCCUGGUAGUCCACGCUGUAAACGAUGAGAACUAGGUGUCGUGGGUGUUGACCCCCGCGGUGCCGUCGCUAACGCAUUAAGUUCUCCGCCUGGGAAGUACGGUCGCAAGAUUAAA
rnacentral:rRNA from 1 species